AGAGUUUGAUCCUGGCUCAGAUUGAACGCUGGCGGCGUGCUUAACACAUGCAAGUCGAUCGGUAACAGGUGUAGCAAUACAUGCUGACGAGAGGCGGACGGGUGAGGAAUAUUUGGGAAUCUGCCCAUCAGCGGGGGACAACCCGGGGAAACCCGGGCUAAUACCGCAUACGCUCUAUGGAGGAAAGCCGGGGACCGCAAGGCCUGGCACUGAUGGAUGAGCCCAAAUCGGAUUAGCUAGUUGGCGGGGUAACGGCCCACCAAGGCGACGAUCCGUAGCUGGUCUGAGAGGACGAUCAGCCACACCGGAACUGAGACACGGUCCGGACUCCUACGGGAGGCAGCAGUGGGGAAUAUUGGACAAUGGGCGAAAGCCUGAUCCAGCGACGCCGCGUGGGUGAAGAAGGCCUGCGGGUUGUAAAGCCCUUUCGGUAGGGACGAAAACCUUCGACUUAACACGUCGAGGGAUUGACUUAACCUACAUAAGAAGCACCGGCUAACUCUGUGCCAGCAGCCGCGGUAAUACAGAGGGUGCGAGCGUUAAUCGGAAUUACUGGGCGUAAAGCGCACGUAGUCGGCUUUGCAAGUCGGUUGUGAAAUCCCCGGGCUCAACCUGGGAACUGCAUCCGAGACUGCAUUGCUAGAGUAUGGGAGAGGAAAGCGGAAUUUCUGGUGUAGCAGUGAAAUGCGUAGAUAUCAGAAGGAACAUCAGUGGCGAAGGCGGCUAUCUGGACCAAUACUGACGAUCAGGUGCGAAAGCGUGGGGAGCAAACAGGAUUAGAUACCCUGGUAGUCCACGCCCUAAACGAUGACAACUGGAUGUCGGGGGGGUUUGCCUUCCGGUGUCGUAGCUAACGCGUUAAGUUGUCCGCCUGGGAAGUACGGCCGCAAGGUUGAAACUCAAAUGAAUUGACGG
rnacentral:rRNA from 1 species